rnacentral:lncRNA from 1 species
CGCCGAACAUUGCAUGGUUUCGGAUUCACGUUCGACUGCCGAAGGUGGUCUGGCCAGCCACCUAUUUAAGGGCCAAAGGUCGGUGGAAGGAGGAUAUUUCUCCUCCACUUGCAGCCAGAGGUGAGUUCCAGCCUCUCCCAAGUUGACUUUCAUGUUUUCCAUGUUUUUCACCAAAUCUUUCAAGGGUUUUAAGAGUUGUGGUGUGUUUUGAAGGUUUUGAGCAAAAAUAGCAAGUUUGGAAGUUUGGAGUUUUGGAAGAGGUUUUCUUCAUAUCUCCACGUUAGGAUCACUCAUCCUCAAGUUCUUAAGGAGGUAAGGGUGGAUCCUGAACUUCUUU